rnacentral:rRNA from 1 species
CGUAGGAUGCGAGCGUUAUCCGGAUUUACUGGGCGUAAAGAGUUCGUAGGUGUUUGGGUACAUCUUGUUUCAAAGCUCGGAGCUUAACUCCGAAAAGGGAUGAGAUAUGGCCUGAAUCGAGUUUGCUAGGGGAUACCGGAACUGAUAGUGUAGCAGUGAAAUGCGUUGAUAUUAUCAGGAACACCGAGAGCGAAGGCAGGUAUCUGGGGCACAACUGACACUCAGUGAACGAAAGCUAGGGGAGCGAAAGGGAUUAGAGACCCCUGUAGUCCUAGCUGUAAACUAUGUCCGCUUGAUUUUCCGUGUUUACACGGAGGGUCGUAGCUAACGCGUGAAGCGGACCGCCUGGGGAGUACGACCGCAAGGUUA